GCUUUUUCCUCCUAUGAUCGGCAUACAGACAUGCAGAUGGAUAUUGAUAAUAUGUCUUAUGAGGCCCAGAACAUCUGCAAUUUAGUUUUUGAUAAGUCCUCCAAGAUUUGGUUAGUUGCUUCAUGCUUUCUCUUUUUCUCUCUUAAUACUUAGCUCAAUUUU